AGCUCUGUAAGCGUAUACCCAAGUUGUUGCAGUUAAAACGCUCGUAGUCGGAGGUUGGCGGGCGAGACGGGGCGUCUUCGCGGACGGACCUGGGUCGGCCGCCUUUGUGGAGGGGGGCGCGAGGCCGCUUGAGUGCGGGCUCGUUGUCGCUGCCACCGUUUACUGUGAAAAAAUUAGAGUGUUCAAAGCGGGCGUUUGCCAUGAAUACCUUAGCAUGGAAUAAUAGAAUAGGACCUGCGUUCUGUUUUAUUGGUUUGUGAGGACCGGGUAAUGAUUAAGAGGGACGGUUGGGGGCAUUUGUAUUCCGGCGUCAGAGGUGAAAUUCUUGGAUUGUCGGAAGACAAACGGCUGCGAAAGCGUCUGCCAAGGACGUUUUCAUUGAUCAAGAACGAAAGUACGC
rnacentral:rRNA from 1 species